UGGAUCCAGACUUUGAUUCUGGCUCAGGAUGAACGCUAGCUACAGGCUUAACACAUGCAAGUCGAGGGGAAACGACAUCGAAAGCUUGCUUUUGAUGGGCGUCGACCGGCGCACGGGUGAGUAACGCGUAUCCAACCUGCCCACCACUUGGGGAUAACCUUGCGAAAGUAAGACUAAUACCCAAUGAUAUCUCUAGAAGACAUCUGAAGGAGAUUAAAGAUUUAUCGGUGAUGGAUGGGGAUGCGUCUGAUUAGCUUGUUGGCGGGGUAACGGCCCACCAAGGCAACGAUCAGUAGGGGUUCUGAGAGGAAGGUCCCCCACAUUGGAACUGAGACACGGUCCAAACUCCUACGGGAGGCAGCAGUGAGGAAUAUUGGUCAAUGGACGAGAGUCUGAACCAGCCAAGUAGCGUGCAGGAUGACGGCCCUAUGGGUUGUAAACUGCUUUUAUAAGGGAAUAAAGUGAGUCUCGUGAGACUUUUUGCAUGUACCUUAUGAAUAGGGACCGGCUAAUUCCGUGCCAGCAGCCGCGGUAAUACGGAAGGUCCGGGCGUUAUCCGGAUUUAUUGGGUUUAAAGGGAGCGAAGGCCGGGGAUUAAGCGUGUUGUGAAAUGUAGACGCUCAACGUCUGCACUGCAGCGCGAACUGGUUUCCUUGAGUACGCACAAAGUGGGCGGAAUUCGUGGUGUAGCGGUGAAAUGCUUAGAUAUCACGAAGAACUCCGAUUGCGAAGGCAGCUCACUGGAGCGCAACUGACGCUGAAGCUCGAAAGUGCGGGUAUCGAACAGGAUUAGAUACCCUGGUAGUCCGCACGGUAAACGAUGGAUGCCCGCUGUUGGUCUGAAUAGGUCAGCGGCCAAGCGAAAGCAUUAAGCAUCCCACCUGGGGAGUACGCCGGCAACGGUGCAACUCAAAUGAAUUGACGGA
rnacentral:rRNA from 1 species